GUUAUUUUGGAAGCACAUAUACUAAAAUUGUAAUGAUAUAAAGAAGAAGAGCACAGCCCCUGUGCAAGGGUGAUGCACAUGUUUGGUUUUUUUAAAGCAUCUUG